GGUCUUAGCUUGCUAAGGCCGAUGGCGACCGGCGCACGGGUGAGUAACACGUAUCCAACCUUCCGUCUACUCUUGGACAGCCUUCUGAAAGGAAGAUUACUACAAGAUGGCAUCAUGAGUCCGCAUGUUCACAUGAUUAAAGGUAUUCCGGUAGACGAUGGGGAUGCGUUCCAUUAGAUAGUAGGCGGGGUAACGGCCCACCUAGUCUUCGAUGGAUAGGGGUUCUGAGAGGAAGGUCCCCCACAUUGGAACUGAGACACGGUCCAAACUCCUACGGGAGGCAGCAGUGAGGAAUAUUGGUCAAUGGGCGAGAGCCUGAACCAGCCAAGUAGCGUGAAGGAUGACUGCCCUAUGGGUUGUAAACUUCUUUUAUAAAGGAAUAAAGUCGGGUAUGGAUACCCGUUUGCAUGUACUUUAUGAAUAAGGAUCGGCUAACUCCGUGCCAGCAGCCGCGGUGAUACGGAGGAUCCGAGCGUUAUCCGGAUUUAUUGGGUUUAAAGGGAGCGUAGAUGGAUGUUUAAGUCAGUUGUGAAAGUUUGCGGCUCAACCGUAAAAUUGCAGUUGAUACUGGAUAUCUUGAGUGCAGUUGAGGCAGGCGGAAUUCGUGGUGUAGCGGUGAAAUGCUUAGAUAUCACGAAGAACUCCGAUUG
rnacentral:rRNA from 1 species